ACCCUCCCUCACUUACCCAGAGCCCAAGGGACUCUCAAGAAUCUUCUUCAGGACCACAAUUGGAAAUGACAUGGUGAGAUAUAAAAGAGGAGAGUGUGGACAAGGCGGUGACAAGUUAUGAAGAUUCCACAUGCUGAGGGGCAACUGAGCCCACAAGCCAUAAUGACUGAAGCCCGUGCACCUAGAGCCCAUCUCUGCAACCAGAGAAGCCACUGCAAUGGAGAACCUGUGCACUGUAACUAGAGAGUAGCCCCUGCUAACCCCAACUACAGAAAACCCAAGAAGCAACAAAAACCCAGCACUGCUGCUACUGCUAAGUCGCUUCAGUCGUGUCC
ensembl:lncRNA